AGUAAUUAAAGCACUUUUGUACUGUGAAACUGCGAAUGGCUCAUUAAAUCAGUUAUCGUUUAUUAAGAUAAAGUACGUUUACUACUUGGAUAACCGUGGUAAUUCUAUAUCUAAUACAUGCGAAAAGUCCCGACUUUUUGGAAGGGAUGUAUUUAUUAGAUUCAAAACCAAUGCGGGUUCUGCCCGGUCUGUUGGUGAUUCAUGGUAACUUUUCAAAUCACAUGGCCUUGGCGCUGGCGAUGUUUCAUUCAAAUUUCUGCCCUAUCAACUGUCAAUGGAAAGGUCUUGGCUUACCAUGGUUACACGGGAGACGGAAAAUU
rnacentral:rRNA from 1 species